UCAGGAACUUACCACAUUUUCUCAAUCUCCAAGUUGGACUGACCACCCUCCAAAUUCGAAGGAGACUAAAAAUUAUACACCAGGCAAAAUUUAUCUUCAUUUUGCAGACCCUCCCAUGGGCCUGGUAGUUGAACCUCCUGAUCUGUUUUUUCUCAAAACUACAAAAUCUAAACUUGUGCAGGGGAACCCAACUCAGAUUAAAAAAUCUCCUAAAGAGGUUGCAGCUCACACCGUAGAAUAUAAGGAGGCUGUUCUUCCAGCUCCACUUGAGGGUCAAGACAAGUCUCCCAUACCACCCACUAUGUCAUUACAAUCUUUGGAUGAAGAACUCAUCACACCUUCUCAUUCUCCUGGUGGGACUCACCAUUCUCCAACUCCUAUAGAGACUAAAAGACAUAUGUCAGGGAAGAUUUUUCUUAAUCAUGCAGAACUUCCCAUGA
rnacentral:lncRNA from 1 species